rnacentral:rRNA from 1 species
CCUACGGGAGGCAGCAGUGGGGAAUAUUGCACAAUGGGGGAAACCCUGAUGCAGCGACGCCGCGUGGAGGAAGAAGGUCUUCGGAUUGUAAACUCCUGUUGUUGGGGAAGAUAAUGACGGUACCCAACAAGGAAGUGACGGCUAACUACGUGCCAGCAGCCGCGGUAAAACGUAGGUCACAAGCGUUGUCCGGAAUUACUGGGUGUAAAGGGAGCGCAGGCGGGAAGACAAGUUGGAAGUGAAAUCUAUGGGCUCAACCCAUAAACUGCUUUCAAAACUGUUUUUCUUGAGUAGUGCAGAGGUAGGCGGAAUUCCCGGUGUAGCGGUGGAAUGCGUAGAUAUCGGGAGGAACACCAGUGGCGAAGGCGGCCUACUGGGCACCAACUGACGCUGAGGCUCGAAAGUGUGGGUAGCAAACAGGAUUAGAUACCCCGGUAGUC